GACAGAGGGUGCAAACGUUGUUCGGAAUUACUGGGCGUAAAGCGCACGUAGGCGGAUUGUUAAGUGAGGGGUGAAAUCCCAGGGCUCAACCCUGGAACUGCCUCUCAUACUGGCAAUCUCGAGUUCGAGAGAGGUGAGUGGAAUUGCGAGUGUAGAGGUGAAAUUCGUAGAUAUUCGCAGGAACACCAGUGGCGAAGGCGGCUCACUGGCUCGAUACUGACGCUGAGGAGCGAAAGCGUGGGGAGCGAACAGG
rnacentral:rRNA from 1 species